rnacentral:rRNA from 1 species
CCUACGGGAGGCAGCAGUGAGGAAUAUUGGUCAAUGGACGAGAGUCUGAACCAGCCAAGUAGCGUGAAGGAUGACUGCCCUAUGGGUUGUAAACUUCUUUUAUAAAGGAAUAAAACGAGGCACGUGUGCCUUUUUGCAUGUACUUUAUGAAUAAGGAUCGGCUAACUCCGUGCCAGCAGCCGCGGUAAUACGGAGGAUCCGAGCGUUAUCCGGAUUUAUUGGGUUUAAAGGGAGCGUAGAUGGGGUGGUAAGUCAGUUGUGAAAGUUUGCGGCUCAACCGUAAAAUUGCAAUUGAUACUGGCAGUCUUGAGUACAGUUGAGGUAAGCGGAAUUCGUGGUGUAGCGGUGAAAUGCUUAGAUAUCACGAAGAACCCCGAUUGCGAAGGCAGCUUACUAAACUGUGACUGACAUUGAUGCUCGAAAGUGUGGGUAGCAAACAGGAUUAGAUACCCGGGUAGUC